UAUUGUAACUCGAUAACAAGUUGAAGGACCUUGGGUGUACUUUUUCCUUCAGAAGAAAAGAACCAUCGAACGGCCCAUAGCAUCUGGUUCGUAUAUGCCCAUUGAAGGAAAAAGUACACCCAAGGUCCCUCAACUUGUCAUCAAGAUACAAAAUCGUUCC
rnacentral:misc_RNA from 1 species